ACACAGAUAGUAUAUAAGUACAGCUGCCUUCCAAGCAGAAAGCCCAAAUCUGGUCAGUGUA
rnacentral:tRNA from 1 species